UACGGAGGGAGCUAGCGUUGUUCGGAAUUACUGGGCGUAAAGCGCACGUAGGCGGCUUUGUAAGUUAGAGGUGAAAGCCCGGGGCUCAACUCCGGAAUUGCCUUUAAAACUGCAUCGCUAGAAUUGUGGAGAGGUGAGUGGAAUUCCGAGUGUAGAGGUGAAAUUCGUAGAUAUUCGGAAGAACACCAGUGGCGAAGGCGACUCACUGGACACAUAUUGACGCUGAGGUGCGAAAGCGUGGGGAGCAAACAGG
rnacentral:rRNA from 1 species